UACGUAGGUGGCAAGCGUUGUCCGGAAUUAUUGGGCGUAAAGCGCGCGCAGGUGGUUUCUUAAGUCUGAUGUGAAAGCCCACGGCUCAACCGUGGAGGGUCAUUGGAAACUGGGGAACUUGAGUGCAGGAGAGAAGAGUGGAAUUCCACGUGUAGCGGUGAAAUGCGUAGAGAUGUGGAGGAACACCAGUGGCGAAGGCGACUCACUGGCCCGAUACUGACGCUGAGGCGCGAAAGCGUGGGGAGCAAACAGG
rnacentral:rRNA from 1 species